GCCCGCUCGCCGUAAGCCCAAGGUUUCCUGCUCUACGUUCAUCGGAGCAGGGUGAGUCGGCCCCUAAGGCCAGGCUGAGAAGCGUAGCUGAUGGGAAGCAGAUUAAGAUUUCUGCACCGACGUUAAGUGCGAAGGGGGGACGGAGUUUUGAGCAUCAUCCGGGUGUUGGAUGUCCCGGUUUGUGCGUGUAGGAGGCCGGCAGGCAAAUCCGCCGGCGAAUCUCCGAGACAAAGCAUCGAGCUGCAUUUUGCAGUGAAGUGAUGGGAUGAACUUCCAGGAAAAGCCUCUAAGCAAUAGCUUAAUGUCGACCGUACCGUAAACCGACACAGGUGGGCGAGUUGAAUAUACUCAGGCGUUGAGAGACUCAGGGAGAAGGAACUCGGCAAAUUGACACCGUAACUUCGGGAUAAGGUGUGCCUUUGUAGUGUGAAGAGUGAAACACUCCGAGCAUGAAGAGGUCACAGAGAAUAGGUGGCUGCAACUGUUUACUAAAAACACAGCACUCUGCAAAGACGAAAGUCGACGUAUAGGGUGUGAUGCCUGCCCGGUGCCGGAAGAUUAAGUGAUGGGGUGAGAGCUCCUGAUCGAAGUCCCGGUAAACGGCGGCCGUAACUAUAACGGUCCUAAGGUAGCGAAAUUCCUUGUCGGGUAAGUUCCGACCUGCACGAAUGGCAUAAUGAUGGCCACACUGUCUCCUCCCGAGACUCAGUGAAGUUGAAAUGUUUGUGAUGAUGCAAUCUCCCCGCGGCUAGACGGAAAGACCCCAUGAACCUUUACUGCAGCUUUGCAUUGGACUUUGAACCGAUCUGUGUAGGAUAGGCGGGAGGCAGAGAACCGAGGACGCCAGUCUUUCGGGGAGCCGACGUUGAAAUACCGCCCUGAUUGGCUGUUUGAGGUCUAACCGCGGACAGUAAACCUGUUCCGGGACCGUGCAUGGUAGGCAGUUUGACUGGGGCGGUCUCCUCCUAAAGGGUAACGGAGGAGUACAAAGGUACGCUAGGUACGGUCGGAAAUCGUGCUGAUAGUGCAAUGGCGCAAGCGUGCUUGACUGCGAGACCGACAAGUCGAGCAGAUGCGAAAGCAGGUCAUAGUGAUCCGGUGGCACUGAAUGGAAGGGCCAUCGCUCAACGGAUAAAAGGUA
rnacentral:rRNA from 1 species